CCUACGGGAGGCAGCAGUAAGGAAUAUUAGACAAUGGCCGAAAGGCUGAUCCAGCCAUCCAGCGUGCAGGAAGAAGGCCCUAUGGGUUGUAAACUGCUUUUAUCAGGGAAUAAACCUCUGGAUUCACUCCGGAGCUGAAGGUACCUGAAGAAUAAGCACCGGCUAACUCCGUGCCAGCAGCCGCGGUAAUACGGAGGGUGCGAGCGUUAUCCGGAAUUACUGGGUUUAAAGGGUGCGUAGGCGGCUUUGUAAGUCAGGAGUGAAAGUUUGCGGCUCAACCGUAAAAUUGCUUCUGAUACUGCAUGGCUAGAAUUAGGAUGAGGUCAGCGGAAUGUGGCAUGUAGCGGUGAAAUGCAUAGAUAUGCCAUAGAACACCAAUUAAAGAAGGCAGCUGGCUAGACCUGGAUUGACGCUGAGGCACGAAAGCGUGGGGAGCGAACAGGAUUAGAUACCCUGGUAGUCCACGCCCUAAACGAUGCUUACUCGACGUAUGGCACUAGUUGUUGUGCGUCAAGGGAAACCGUUAAGUAAGCCACCUGGGGAGUACGACCGCAAAGGUUGAAAACUCAAAGGAAUUGACGG
rnacentral:rRNA from 1 species